rnacentral:rRNA from 1 species
UACGUAGGUGGCAAGCGUUUGUCCGGAUUUACUGGGCGUAAAGAGCGCGCAGGCGGUCGGAUAAGUCGAAUGUGAAAGCCCCCCGGCUCAACUGGGGAGGGUCAUUCGAUACUGUUCGACUCGAAGGCAGGAGAGGGAAGUGGAAUUCCCGGUGUAGUGGUGAAAUGCGUAGAUAUCGGGAGGAACACCAGUGGCGAAGGCGAACUUCCUGGCCUGU